rnacentral:lncRNA from 1 species
UGGAGGGCAGUGGGAAUGCCACUGCAGCACCUGCUUCAGUCUGUGGUAGCAGAAGACCUCUUCUUUUGGUGGGAGUCCUCAAACGGGCCAUGAAGGUUUGAUUAGCUGUUGGAUCAGGGUGAAGGUCUGGCCCCAGAGCUCUUAGGUCACAGUGCUGUGGAUAAAUACAACUCAUCCCUGCCCAGUCACAGUUGCAGAGACCUACUGCAGAAAAUGGAACCAGAAAGAUCUGGAGACACACACUGGGAGAAAUCCUCUUUAAUACAGUGCUUCAAAUUGAAUGCCUGCAGUGCUACAUGGCAAAUUUAAAGCUAAAAUCCACACCUCAUUAACAACGAAUCCUGAUGAGUAAGUUAAGUAGAAGAAACAUCAAUAAUUUAUGGCGAUGAACUCAGCAUUUUCUCUCUCCUUUUUUUCUUUUUGUGUUGCAUCUGUCUUUGGAAGCCUCUAGUAUGUUACAAAUGAAGUGCCAGAGAUGAGCUAGAAAGAAAAAAGCUAGGAGCUUUUCCAGGGAGACAGAGAAUAAAUACAGACCUCCACAAAUGCA